rnacentral:ncRNA from 1 species
CCUCCGCAAGGUUCGUCCACGGAGGGUGAGUCAGGGCCUAAGAUCAGGCCGAAAGGCGUAGUCGAUGGACAACAGGUCAAUAUUCCUGUACUACCCCUUGUUGGUACGGAGGGACGGAGGAGGCUAGGUUAGCCGAAACAUGGUUAUAGGUUUAAGGACACAAGGUGACCCUGCUUUUUCAGGGUAAGAAGGGGUAGAGAAAAUGCCUCGAGCCGAGGUCCGAGUACCAAGCGCUGCAGCGCUGAAGUAUG